rnacentral:rRNA from 1 species
UACGUAGGGGGCGAGCGUUGUCCGGAUUUAUUGGGCGUAAAGAGCGUGUAGGCGGCCAGGUAGGUCUGCUGUGAAAACUCGAGGCUCAACCUCGAGACGUCGGCGGAAACCAUCUGGCUAGAGUCCGGAAGAGGAGAGUGGAAUUCCUGGUGUAGCGGUGAAAUGCGCAGAUAUCAGGAAGAACACCCGUGGCGAAGGCGGCUCUCUGGGCCAACACUGACGCUCAGGCACGAAAGCGUGGGGAGCAAACAGG